AGGCAGCAGUGGGGAAUUUUGGACAAUGGGCGCAAGCCUGAUCCAGCAAUGCCGCGUGCAGGAAGAAGGCCUUCGGGUUGUAAACUGCUUUUGUACGGAACGAAACGGUCCUGGUUAAUACCUGGGGCUAAUGACGGUACCGUAAGAAUAAGCACCGGCUAACUACGUGCCAGCAGCCGCGGUAAUACGUAGGGUGCGAGCGUUAAUCGGAAUUACUGGGCGUAAAGCGUGCGCAGGCGGUGCUGUAAGACAGGCGUGAAAUCCCCGGGCUCAACCUGGGAAUUGCGCUUGUGACUGCAGUGCUGGAGUACGGCAGAGGGGGAUGGAAUUCCGCGUGUAGCAGUGAAAUGCGUAGAUAUGCGGAGGAACACCGAUGGCGAAGGCAGUCCCCUGGGCCUGUACUGACGCUCAUGCACGAAAGCGUGGGGAGCAAACAGGAUUAGAUACCCCGGUAG
rnacentral:rRNA from 1 species